rnacentral:rRNA from 1 species
UCCGUAGGUGAACCUGCGGAAGGAUCAUUAAUAAUUUGCCGAACCUAGCGUUAGCGAGGUUCUGCGAUCACUUAUAUUUAAAACCCAACUCUUAAAUGUAUAAUAUGUAUUUUUUGAAUGAUAAAAUUAAAAGAUCACUUUCAACAACGGAUCUCUUGGCUCUCGCAUCGAUGAAGAACGUAGCGAAGUGCGAUAAGUAAUGUGAAUUGCAGAAUUCCGUGAAUCAUCGAAUCUUUGAACGCAAAUUGCACUUUCUGGUAUUCCGGAAAGUAUGCCUGUUUGAGGGUCAGUUAAAUAAAAAUCGGUGUUGUUGCUACCCGUAGUGGUGUUAAUGCAUCGGAGUUGAGUUGUCUUUACCUUUUUUGGUUAAAGUGACUUAAAAUUAUGUACGAUCUUUGAACGUAUUUAAAUUGUUUAUGUAUGUUCAUAAUAUCAAAUAUUAGGUGCGGUCAUUCUCAUGAUUCACAUCUAUAAUUUUUCAUUAUUUGACCUCAAAUCAGGUAAGAGUACCCGCUGAACUUAAGCAUAUCAAUAAGCGGAGGAAGUCGACUGCCAAGGGGCACACAGGGGGGGAUA